rnacentral:lncRNA from 1 species
UCGCCAUGUUGCAUAUUCUCUAAUCCAUGAUAUUCUCGUUGGUUCUUUCUAGUUGCCUGGAAGAUGCCAUGAGCAGACAUAGUUGCGAUCCCAUCGCAGAUGAAGACUGGUCAUCCGAGAUCACGUUUGACUCCUGGUGUUGUAGAGCCGAUCCGGCCAUCCUGACUCCUGGUGCUAUAAAGCCGAUCCGGCCAUCCUGACUCCUGGUGCUAUAAAGCCGAUCCGGCCAUCCUGCUGUACGUGUCUUGAAGCCAUCGACCGACUCCAUGCCGUGCAUAUUCUGUUCUGCUCCAAAUAAUCCUACAGGGAUCAUCUUCGGCCAUGUAUCAAUUUAUCAUCCAUCUGCUUUCAGCCAUGGACUUCCGCAAAACAAGUAGUGUCCAGUCACGAAUAGACCACGAAGAAACAAGUAGGCUGUCUUGUGUACAUCUACAGCUACUACACGUCUAACCAAGAAGCCGAACAGUGCUGCUGUUUCACAUUGUGCCCAUGUUUGCUAGCACGAAGUAUCUCAACUGCUGCAACUGCAAGGCAGAUAAUCCUGACCACGCUAAGCAUGCAAGCUGGCUGGUGAAGCAUAGGCACCAUGAUUAACGAAAGGUUAGCAGCCAGAUUAGUUCCUUCUCACAUUAUUCUAUUGACUAAAUCAUGUGCUGAUGUCAUGCUAAUAACGCUUUGGUGCAAUUUCCAAUUCCCUGCAAUAAAAAAUAAUAAAUAGGAGUGCUUACACGUAACAAGCUUAAUUCAUGUAGGCACGAUUAAAGGUGUGUAUUAUUUUAUUGAUUAAAGAUAAUGCUGAUAUCAUAUAUAUGUCAUUCAUGCAUAAUAAAUCACUAUUGUCUAUUUAUUCCUCAAUUCAAGAAAAUCUAUCUUUUAUAUCACUGCUACAAAAUCGGCCUUUAGUACGGGCCGGGAAGAGGCUUUAGCCUCGGAUUCCAAGCCGGCGCUACGCUUCCGGGACUAAAGUCCCCCACCUUUAGUCCCGGCUCCAUGCACCGGGGCCAAAGCCCCACCGUUUAGUCCCGGGCAGUAUUACCAGCUGGGAUUAAAGGGUGCUGCCAGCGGUGCCACGCAGCAGCACCGUUUAGUCCCGGCUGUUAAUACCGCCCGGGGUUAAAGGGGCCCCUUGUUUUUUCUUUUUCUUUUCUUUUCACUUCUGUUUUUUAGUUUUAUUUAUUUAUACAAUAGGUUUUCCAAUAUGUAUUCUUUGCUGCUAGUAUAUAUAUAUAUAUAUAUAUACACUAGUGCCAUAUGACAAUAAGCUUAUUUUAUACAUAUAUAAUUGAAUUAUAUAACUACAUAUAUAUAUAAAUAUAUGCACAUAAAUAUAUAGAAGUUGUUCUCCAAAUCUAUUACUGCACAAGUUGUACUCCAAAGUUAAGACUCUAAACCUAUUACAAGUUGUACUUCAUCAUCGAAAGAUCUACAAAGCAUACAAAUGAUCAUCAUUGUUUUGAAUCAUCGUCUCGUUAGGAUUAUAGUGGAACUCGCCGCUUGGAUUUAUGACUUGUUUCCGAAGAAAUCCUGCUAUUGCCUCUUGUAUUGCUUGGAGUUGUUCAUGUUCCGUGAGUUUUGCUUCAACCAUUCAGUCUUCAAUUUGAAUUAAAAUAAGGUAUUAGUUAUAUCAAGAUUAUCAAUAGUAAUUCGAGAGAAAAUAAAAAGAGACAUGUGUUACAUACUCUGAGGUAUUCUUCAGGAAUUCUAUUUGUUUUUGCCAUAAUAUACUCGCAAACGUAGUAUCCACAUAAGUUGUUCCCCAGUUCUUGUCUCAAGAUCCACUGUAGGAUGUAAAGAUUCAUCUCGUAAAAAAGACAAAAUAUAAGAUAUAUCACGUACAUUGACGAAGGAUAAACUUACUUGUAGCUAUAUUCAAAAGUUGUGUAUAUAUUUAUUAUUUUUUAGUUUGUAGUCUAAUAAAUAUAUAUGCACCUUUUGAAGUGAUAUAUCUUUAGUCAUUGCUACUUCCAUAUUGUACAGAUAAGUUUUUUCCAAUAUCUUCUGAAUACAGCCCAUCGUGCAAAUGCUUCUCGUAUUAUUCUCUCUAGACUUAUCAUCAAUAGAGUAUUUGGACACAUCAUUAUUCAUAACUCAGGCAGAAAAUUCCAGGAAUGACUGCAGAGCCCUCGAUGCACUUUGCCGUAAAAUCAGUUCUUCAGAUGACAUAUCAUACACACAAUGAGAUAAUAUGGCGCCGACAUGCUCUUCUGUCAAGCCAAGAAACAACUGUGCCCUAACCUUGUCAUAGGUGUUAAGUCUUGUGUCAUAAUCUAGUUGCUAGGUGUUAAGUCUAUAUAUAUAUAUACAUAUAUAUCUAUGUAUAUCUAUAUAUAUUCACAAUACUGCAUUCUUCAUAUAUACAUAUAUUCGGCCGAGAAGAUCGAGGAUGAGCGAUGGUGGACAAGCGCACAGUGGCGACGACCAGACGGUGGACG